GUAUCUUGGGGUGGCCAAUUUCAGGUCCCUACAGUACCCCAGGUCUGACUGAGCCAGCGCGCAGGGCCUCCUCCCAGGGAGACCCUCGGAGACACAGACCGUGCCCUGGGAAGAGCAGUCUGGGAGCGAUCCAGCGGCCGCUCAUCAGCAGGGCAGGCGAGAGGGUGGGAGAGUUGGGCCCGAGGGAGGCCGAUGCCUGGAGCGCAGACGGUCGGGCCCAGGUGGGGCCCACCGUGCCCCAAGGGACGCAGGGAGGGGACGGUGCGGCUGCACUCCCGCACCCCAUCUCACGGCCCACCCGCUCCGGCAGUCCUCGUGGGCCUCUGCCUACCCGGCGGGGACACUCAGGACCCAGGCCGCCCUCCCCCCACCCCGUGAGGGACUGUGGGGCCAGGGGCGUUGCCAGGGCCGUACGUGCUCGGGCUCCGUCCUCUUGCCCUGCGCGUCAGCCGGUGCUCCUGAGGGAAGCCGGUGGCGCCCUGGGGACAACCCGCGCCCGCCAUCCCCCUACCCCGGGUGAUAGCAGCGCCCCCUCGGGGGCCUGCGACCAGCAGGAAGCAGCAGCCGCCAGAACGCAAAGGAAGGCCAAGGAAGGCGAAGGUACGUGAACACGAACGGUCUGCAGCCCGGGCCGCCCGACGGGACGCGCCGCGCAGAGCGGACGCCGCGGAGCACCCCGCACGGUCCCGUCUCAGCAGACGCCGCACGCACGACGCGGGCGGGCGAGCACAGGACAGCCACUCGCCAUCCACAGCUACGCGACGGUCCAGACGCGCCCCCGGCUUGCGGCCUUGAGACCCCGGAUGCUACCUGCCCGCCGGGGGCGCGGGGGCUCCUGGGCUUCUCCGGAGAGACCCCGGAUCCCCGUGUCCCCGAGUCCCCACUUCACUCCGGCUCCUCGUGCGGCCCCGCCCCUAUGGCCGCCGCCCGCCCCUCGCCGCCCAGCCCUCUCAUUCGCUCCGCCUCUGCUCCCUCAGUGCCUCCUCUCUCCACAUGGCCGCUCCGCCCUCCCCUUAGGCCCUCGGCUCUUUCCCUCAUUCCUCGGCCCUCCCCGCCCAACAGUGGCUCUUUCCGUGGAUCCUCCACCCUGUCGUCGACGCUCGGUCCUUUCCGUAGACACUUGGCUCUCCCCUCCCCACCCGGCUCGGUAGAAGCUCUGCUCCUCAGACACUCUCGGCCCUUUCUGUCUCCCCUCGGCUCUUUCCUCCAGGACUCUGUGACUCGGACAAGCUCGGCGCUCUCGGCCAGCUGGCGGUUGUUUCCAUCUCCGCCAGGGCUCUGCGAUUCCCACAACCUCGGCGCACUCGGCCAGCCGUCGGUUCUUUCCGUCGCCCCCCCGGCUCCCGGCCCGGAUGUGUUAGUCUCGCUUCAGGCUCAGCCCGCGGGACGCGCUCGUGUGCGCUGGGCGGUGGCUGUGUCUGUUCUGAAAUUGCAGCUCGCGGAGAACUGUGCGCCAGGCAUUUGAUCCUCCAGCUCCCUUUAUCACUCGUGUUUUGAACACAAGUGCGAUGAAGGAAACCUUUAAAAGCCACAUGGAAUUGAUUGUCAGCAUUGUCCUGGACCCCGACACGAUGCAAGCCCUAAAGAGCAACAGUAUAUAAUCUGCUGAGUAGCACUUCCUGGGUCUUUGUUGUUCUUGUCUGUUAGUUGUGCGUUUAAUAUGAGCUACUUUUGCCUCAUAUGAAAAAAAUAGAUAGCAUGCUGAAUGAUAAUCGAAAGAGACUUCUUUUGAAUCUCCACUUGGAUCAGUCAUUCAAGAGUGCUUUGGAAAAUUUUCCUGAACUAACAACAAUUACUCAAGACUCUAAAGCAAAAAGUGGGGGAUCUGCCAUUUCUAAAAUCAAAAUGAAUGGCAGAGCUUAUAAUAAGAAAACUCUAAGGACUUCUAAGACAACCACUAAAUUUGCACAAGAGUUUGCUGUUGAUCCAGAGAAAAUACAGUUGUAUUCUUUAUAUCAUUCACUACAUCAUUAUAAAUAUCUUGUUUAUCUCAUAUGUAAAGAGAUUUCUUCUGUGCAGAAAAGAAAUGAAGAUUUAGGACAGGAAGAAAUUGUUCAACUUUGUAUGAAAAAUGUGAAAUGGGUGGAAGACCUAUUUGAAAAAUUUGGAGAACUUCUAAAUCAUGUUCAGCAGAAAUGUUCCUAAAAAUUUCCACAAAAGUGCCAUCUAUUUUGUAGCACUAAUGAGAUGGCAGAGAGGGGUGAUCAAAGAGGGUCUAAGGCCUCAGAUAAUCGAAUAUCAAGCAGUGGUCUCCUGCAGGCCCACCUGCUCCGAUCAGGGAACUGGCAUCGGGACCUCUGCUGAAGGACAGUGGUGCUGCCAAGGCAUUCAGUCCUUUGGAAGUGGACCUAAAUCCCAUGACAUGUGUAUCCUAAUGAAUGAUUUUUCUAUUUUGUAAACCAUUGGGUAACUGAGUUUUAUAUUCAGAAAUGUUUUUUGACAAAUGAUGAAGCAGGCACUAAAUACAAUUUUUCUUUAUUGCUAGAGAGAUAACACUUAAGUAACUUGAUAAUUUUUUCCUGACUCUGACUAAACACCAGGAUGAAAGAAAGGGGGCAGAAAGCCUAUGUUUGCAUUCAUGUCUGGCCACGAAAUGGAAAGUAUUGUACGUUAUGAAAACAGAUCUGGUGUGAUGUGACAUUUUGUACGAGAAUAUCAACAGUUUAAAAUAUGAAAUUCAGAAACUGCAUUCUGCUUUACGAACUCCUAUUACUCUUAACAUGUUCAGGAAACUGGAUGUGGAAUUGGUGCAAUUCUAUGACUGCUUUUCGUGUCAAAUUAUGUUGUGAUAAAAAAACAAUGACAUACUAUUUUCCCUAUCUCAAAGAAAAGUAUUUUCCUUUAUACAUUUUUUCCUUUGGAAAAAUUUUCAGUCGUACAUUUUAUUUUACUAAUAGUUGUAUUUUUCAGAAGGAAAGUGUUGUGGUUAUAAUUAUGUUUGAUGUAUCUGUACUGCACUUUUCAUUAUUUUCAGUAAAUCUUAUUUAGAUAUAUAUUGAAUUUCUAUUGUGAAUUCUAUCUUGAGGUAACCAUUUUUGUUUAUACAGAUUUCCUUCAGCGUUAUCCAGAAUAUGCAUUUAGUACUAGAAUUAGUUUAGCUUUAUAAAUGGGAUUGUGUUAGACACUGCAGUCAUUUCCUGAUUCAUGAAAAUAAAUUUCUUACUAAAUUAGCACUUGAUUAACUGAUUUAUCAAAAUAAAAAUCUAACCACAUUAUACAUUUUGAAGAAUAAACGUUUAGUAGUCUUCAUGCAGUGUUAAACACAUCUUACCUAACUGAGAACUGGAAGUGAUGGAGCUCUCCUUUGGGUGCCUUUCCAACCUUUAGAUGUAUAUUGUAGCCUUCUUUAGUUCGAUAGUUAGUGUUUUGAGUCAUUUGGCUGAGACAGUGAACGUAUUAGGUUCAACAUGACCUUGUAUUUUAUUUAUGUUUGCCAACAGGAUGCCUUAUUUGUUUGAGAAAAAGAUUUACUAGUGUCCUUCUAAAUGAUCUCCUUUUUUAGGAUUCUAAAGAUGUUGUUAAUCAUCCUACUUGUUUAUUUUCCCACCAUUUAGUGCCUUAAGUCCUAUCCAGAAAGCAGUGUUACUGCUUAAUGCCCAAAUAAGACAUGCGUAUGUGGAUAUUGCUGUUGUCUUGAUUUUGAGUUAAUAGGUCAACUUCUAAUAGCUAAAACCUCAGUAAACUGGCAAAGAAUUGAAGGUAA